rnacentral:rRNA from 1 species
AUUGAACGCUGGCGGCAUGCCUUACACAUGCAAGUCGAACGGCAGCGCGGGAGCAAUCCUGGCGGCGAGUGGCGAACGGGUGAGUAAUACAUCGGAACGUGCCCAAUCGUGGGGGAUAACACAGCGAAAGCUGUGCUAAUACCGCAUACGAUCUACGGAUGAAAGCAGGGGGUCGCAAGACCUUGCGCGAAUGGAGCGGCCGAUGGCAGAUUAGGUAGUUGGUGAGGUAAAGGCUCACCAAGCCUUCGAUCUGUAGCUGGUCUGAGAGGACGACCAGCCACACUGGGACUGAGACACGGCCCAGACUCCUACGGGAGGCAGCAGUGGGGAAUUUUGGACAAUGGGCGAAAGCCUGAUCCAGCCAUGCCGCGUGCAGGAUGAAGGCCUUCGGGUUGUAAACUGCUUUUGUACGGAACGAAACGGUCUUUUCUAAUAAAGAAGGCUAAUGACGGUACCGUAAGAAUAAGCACCGGCUAACUACGUG